rnacentral:tRNA from 1 species
UUAUAUAUAUAUUAAUAGAUAGAAUCAUUUAAAAAUAUAAUAUACAAUUUACAUAUACAAUUAUUUUCAGGUAUUUUGUUAAAAUAUUAAAUAUGAUUUACCAAUUUUAAAAAAUCAAUUUAUAAUUUUAUUUAAAUAUAUCUUUCAAUAAUUUUAUGAUAUAUUGUUUUUGAUGUAAAGUUAUAUAUAUAUAAUUAUAUAUAUAUAAUUAUUUUAUAAA